ACACGUGAUUCAGAGUUUGAUCCUGGCUCAGAUUGAACGCUGGCGGCAUGCCUAACACAUGCAAGUCGAACGGUAACGCGGGGGCAACCCUGGCGACGAGUGGCGGACGGGUGAGUAAUACGUAGGAAUCUGCCCAUUUGUGGGGGAUAACCCGGCGAAAGCCGGGCUAAUACCGCAUACGCUCUACGGAGGAAAGCGGGGGAUCGAAAGACCUCGCGCUAAUGGAUGAGCCUACGUCGGAUUAGCUAGUUGGUAGGGUAACGGCCUACCAAGGCUACGAUCCGUAGCUGGUCUGAGAGGACGAUCAGCCACACUGGGACUGAGACACGGCCCAG
rnacentral:rRNA from 1 species